CCCUUAGAUGUCCUGGGCCGCACGCGUGCUACACUGACGCAUACAGCGAGCACUUUCCAGUUCCGAGAGGCUACUGGUAAUCAUCAAUAUGCGUCGUGAUGGGGAUAGAUCUUUGGAAUUCUGGAUCUUGGACGAGGAAUGCCUAGUAAUCGCAGGUCAUUAGCCUGCGAUGAUUAAGUCCCUGCCCUUUGUACACACCGCCCGUCGCUACUACCGAUUUCGAGUGGUCAGGUGAAUCUUUCGGACUGUGGGCGCCCUUGAGGUGUUCGCGGAAAGUCAGGUAAAUCUUAUCACUUAGAGGAAGUAAAAGUCGUAACA
rnacentral:rRNA from 1 species